rnacentral:rRNA from 1 species
GACGAACGCUGGCGGCGUGCCUAAUACAUGCAAGUCGAGCGAAUCGACGGGAGCUUGCUCCCUUAGAUUAGCGGCGGACGGGUGAGUAACACGUGGGCAACCUGCCUUAUAGUUUGGGAUAACUCCGGGAAACCGGGGCUAAUACCGAAUAAUCUAUUCCCUCUCAUGUGGGAAUACUAAAAGACGGUUUCGGCUGUCGCUAUAAGAUGGGCCCGCGGCGCAUUAGCUAGUUGGUGAGGUAACGGCUCACCAAGGCAACGAUGCGUAGCCGACCUGAGAGGGUGAUCGGCCACACUGGGACUGAGACACGGCCCAGACUCCUACGGGAGGCUG